rnacentral:rRNA from 1 species
UACGGGGGGGGGCAAGCGUUGUUCGGAAUUACUGGGCGUAAAGGGCUCGUAGGCGGCCAACUAAGUCGGAUGUGAAAUCCCCAGGCUUAACCUGGGAACUGCAUCCGAUACUGGAUGGCUUGAAUUCGGGAGAGGGAUGUGGAAUUCCAGGUGUAGCGGUGAAAUGCGUAGAUAUCUGGAGGAACACCGGUGGCGAAGGCGGCAUCCUGGACCGAUAUUGACGCUGAUGCGCGAAAGCCAGGGGAGCAAACGGGG